rnacentral:rRNA from 1 species
AGUGAACGCUGGCGGUAGGCCUAACACAUGCAAGUCGAACGGCAGCACAGUAAGAGCUUGCUCUUACGGGUGGCGAGUGGCGGACGGGUGAGGAAUACAUCGGAAUCUACUUUUUCGUGGGGGAUAACGUAGGGAAACUUACGCUAAUACCCCAUACGACUUACGGGUGAAAGCAGGGGAUCUUCGGACCUUGCGCGAUUGAAUGAGCCGAUGUCGGAUUAGCUGGUUGGCGGGGUAAGGGCCCACCAAGGCGACGAUCCGUAGCUGGUCUGAGAGGAUGAUCAGCCACACUGGAACUGAGACACGGUCCAGACUCCUACGGGAGGCAGCAGUGGGGAAUAUUGGACAAUGGGCGCAAGCCUGAUCCAGCCAUACCGCGUGGGUGAAGAAGGCCUUCGGGUUGUAAAGCCCUUUUGUUGGGAAAGAAAAGCAGCAGGUUAAUACCCCGCUGUUCUGACGGUACCCAAAGAAUAAGCACCGGCUAACUUCGUG